ensembl:lncRNA
CCCAGGCAUAGGGAUGUUUAUCGCCUUGCGGUGGAGCACAGGCGAGUGGCCGGCCUUGACCAGGUGGGGCAGCUCUGGACUUGAGUGAGGAGGUCAGAAUGGUGGCAGGAGCAGGGCAGGAGCCCCCCCGGCCUGGGGGGCGCAAUGCCUGGAGACGCCCAGCAGGGGGCGCAGAGGCCUGGUAGGACUGGGGUUGGAUGUGAUUUUGCUGGUGGGCCUGGCUGCGGCUGAACCCUCAGUCUUUUGAUGCCGCAAGCUCGCUCUCCAGCCGCCCCCCACCCCAACCCCCUCCGAAUCCUAGGCCAGCCUGUCGCCAUUUUAACACAUUCAUGUUCUGCCUAAAGCAGCCGGAAUUGGUUUCUGUUGCUUAUAAGCGGGCGAGAGUCCCAGCUGACUCUCCAGGCCUCUGGGCUGACAUUCUAGAGACUUCCACCCCACUUCUUUUCAAAUGCCCUCUGCUGACCGAGGCCAGGAUAGACCCACUCCAUGGAGACAAACCAAGCACAACACAAGUCAAAUUAAAAGCAGAAAGCCUCCAAAUUUGGCGCCGGCCCAGCGUCCUGCCCUGACAGCUGGUCUUCCUCUAAGCCACUGGCGGUGGAGGGCGCCUGAAACAAGACCACCAAUCAGGGUAAACUUCCAGAGAAGCUCCACGUCAGCCUCCUGCAUGGCUGCUGGACCAGUCGAUUUGAGCUCAGCUACUUUAGUCACAAGGUUAUUUCCAAACAGGACUUCUAUUACUAGGAGCGAGGUGCAGGGAGCUUAGCAGCCUCUUCCAGCUUCCAAUCCACCUUGCAAUGAUUAACAAUCACCAUCGUCCCAUCCUAAUAACAAUUCCAAAACUAGUCUUCAAGUAAAACCGAAGCUCCGGGCAGAUGCGCCGUGUCUAUCUAGGAACUCCAGACUCUCCAAGGGACUACUGCUGUGCCCAGAGCUGUGACAAAGCUAAGCUACUGCCACCGAUACAAGGAGUCAGGGCACACAGAAGGGAUACACUGAUAUUGGCAAUUUAAAUAGCACUGGUCACACCCAUACAG